rnacentral:rRNA from 1 species
CCUACGGGAGGCAGCAGUGGGGAAUAUUGCACAAUGGAGGAAACUCUGAUGCAGCGACGCCGCGUGAAUGAUGAAGGCCUUCGGGUCGUAAAAUUCUGUCCUAGGGGACGAUAAUGACGGUACCCUAGGAGGAAGCCCCGGCUAACUACGUGCCAGCAGCCGCGGUAAUACGUAGGUGGCAAGCGUUGUCCGGAUUUAUUGGGCGUAAAGCGCGCGCAGGCGGUCUUUUAAGUCUGAUGUGAAAGCCCCCGGCUUAACCGGGGAGGGUCAUUGGAAACUGGAAGACUGGAGUGCAGAAGAGGAGAGUGGAAUUCCACGUGUAGCGGUGAAAUGCGUAGAUAUGUGGAGGAACACCAGAGGCGAAGGCGACUCUCUGGUCUGUAACUGACGCUGAGGCGCGAAAGCGUGGGGAGCAAACAGGAUUAGAUACCCUGGUAGUCCACGCCGUAAACGAUGAGUGCUAAGUGUUAGGGGGUUUCCGCCCCUUAGUGCUACAGCUAACGCAUUAAGCACUCCGCCUGGGGAGUACGUACGGAAGUAUGAAACUCAAAGGAAUUGACGG